GCCAUUUCGCCGAUUCCUCCAUGCGAGUUGCUGUGCGUUUCUCUGUUGUCUCGGUAGAAGGCCAGAGUCACACACGGUCCUAAGAGCUGGGCACCAGGAAGCGAAGGCUGAUCUGAAGAAGACACUUGAAUCAUGGGUGACGUUAAAAAUUUUCUGUAUGCCUGGUGUGGCAAAAGGAAGAUGACCCCAUCCUAUGAAAUUAGAGCAGUGGGGAACAAAAACAGGCAGAAAUUCAUGUGUGAGGUUCAGGUGGAAGGUUAUAAUUACACUGGCAUGGGAAAUUCCACCAAUAAAAAAGAUGCACAAAGCAAUGCUGCCAGAGACUUUGUUAACUAUUUGGUUCGAAUAAAUGAAAUAAAGAGUGAAGAAGUUCCAGCUUUUGGGGUAGCAUCUCCGCCCCCACUUACUGAUACUCCUGACACUACAGCAAAUGCUGAAGGAGAUUUACCAACAACCAUGGGAGGACCUCUUCCUCCACAUCUGGCUCUCAAAGCAGAAAAUAAUUCUGAGGUAGGGGCCUCUGGCUAUGGUGUUCCUGGGCCCACCUGGGACCGAGGAGCCAACUUGAAGGAUUACUACUCAAGAAAGGAAGAACAAGAAGUGCAAGCGACUCUAGAAUCAGAAGAAGUGGAUUUAAAUGCUGGGCUUCAUGGAAACUGGACCUUGGAAAAUGCUAAAGCUCGUCUAAACCAAUAUUUUCAGAAAGAAAAGAUCCAAGGAGAAUAUAAGUACACCCAAGUGGGUCCUGAUCACAACAGGUGGAGGAGAAUGAGAUUGAGUGCUGACUUUAAGCCUGGCUGAGAAACAUACUGGCAUCGAUGUCAUUAAUGAAAGGGUGGAUGUUGUUCCCCUGAAAGCCAGUGGCCUUUGACCCCUGAAGCCGCUGUGCCUGAAGGAGCUUUAUUGCAGAAAUGACCAUUUAUAUCAAGCAGCUGGGCAGAAGGAUUUUUGCACGAGAACAUGGAUCAAAUAAGAAAUUGGCAGCACAGUCCUGUGCCCUGUCACUUGUCAGACAACUGUACCAUCUUGGAGUGGUUGAAGCUUACUCCGGACUUACAAAGAAGAAGGAAGGAGAGACAGUGGAGCCUUACAAAGUAAACCUCUCUCAAGAUUUAGAGCAUCAGCUGCAAAACAUCAUUCAAGAGCUAAAUCUUGAGAUUUUGCCCCCGCCUGAAGAUCCUUCUGUGCCAGUUGCACUCAACAUUGGCAAAUUGGCUCAGUUCGAACCAUCUCAGCGACAAAACCAAGUGGGUGUGGUUCCUUGGUCACCUCCACAAUCCAACUGGAAUCCUUGGACUAGUAGCAACAUUGAUGAGGGGCCUCUGGCUUUUGCUACUCCAGAGCAAAUAAGCAUGGACCUCAAGAAUGAAUUGAUGUACCAGUUGGAACAGGAUCAUGAUUUGCAAGCAAUCUUGCAGGAGAGAGAGUUACUGCCUGUGAAGAAAUUUGAAAGUGAGAUUCUGGAAGCAAUCAGCCAAAAUUCAGUUGUCAUUAUUAGAGGGGCUACUGGAUGUGGGAAAACCACACAGGUUCCCCAGUUCAUUCUAGAUGACUUUAUCCAGAAUGACCGAGCAGCAGAGUGUAACAUCGUAGUAACUCAGCCCAGAAGAAUCAGUGCGGUUUCUGUGGCAGAGCGAGUUGCAUUUGAAAGAGGAGAAGAGCCUGGAAAAAGCUGUGGCUACAGCGUUCGAUUUGAGUCUAUACUUCCUCGUCCUCAUGCCAGUAUAAUGUUUUGUACUGUAGGUGUGCUCCUGAGAAAAUUAGAAGCAGGCAUUCGAGGAAUCAGUCAUGUAAUUGUAGAUGAAAUACAUGAAAGAGAUAUUAAUACUGACUUCCUUUUGGUAGUACUGCGUGAUGUUGUUCAGGCUUAUCCUGAAGUUCGCAUUGUUCUUAUGUCUGCUACUAUUGAUACCAGCAUGUUUUGUGAAUAUUUCUUCAAUUGCCCCAUCAUUGAAGUUUAUGGGAGGACUUACCCAGUUCAAGAAUAUUUUCUGGAAGACUGCAUUCAGAUGACCCACUUUGUUCCUCCACCAAAAGACAAAAAGAAGAAGGAUAAGGAUGAUGAUGGUGGUGAGGAUGAUGAUGCAAAUUGCAACUUGAUCUGUGGUGAUGAAUAUGGUCCAGAAACAAGGUUGAGCAUGUCUCAAUUGAACGAAAAGGAAACUCCUUUUGAACUCAUCGAGGCUCUACUUAAGUACAUUGAAACCCUUAAUGUUCCUGGAGCUGUGUUGGUUUUUUUGCCUGGCUGGAAUCUGAUUUAUACUAUGCAGAAGCAUUUGGAAAUGAAUCCACAUUUUGGAAGCCAUCGGUAUCAGAUUCUACCCCUGCAUUCUCAGAUUCCUCGAGAGGAACAGCGCAAAGUGUUUGAUCCAGUACCAGUUGGAGUAACCAAGGUUAUUUUGUCCACAAAUAUUGCUGAAACAAGCAUUACCAUAAACGAUGUUGUUUAUGUCAUUGACUCCUGCAAGCAGAAAGUGAAACUCUUCACUGCUCACAACAAUAUGACCAACUAUGCUACCGUAUGGGCAUCAAAAACAAACCUUGAGCAACGGAAAGGGCGAGCUGGCCGAGUACGGCCUGGAUUCUGCUUUCACCUGUGCAGCCGAGCUCGUUUUGAGAGACUUGAAACCCACAUGACACCAGAGAUGUUCCGAACACCAUUGCAUGAAAUUGCUCUUAGCAUAAAACUUCUGCGUCUAGGAGGAAUUGGCCAAUUUCUGGCCAAAGCAAUUGAACCUCCCCCUUUGGAUGCUGUGAUUGAAGCAGAACACACUCUUAGAGAGCUUGAUGCAUUAGAUGCCAAUGAUGAGUUGACUCCUUUGGGACGAAUCCUGGCUAAACUCCCCAUUGAGCCUCGUUUUGGCAAAAUGAUGAUAAUGGGGUGUAUUUUCUACGUGGGAGAUGCUAUCUGUACCAUUGCUGCUGCUACCUGCUUUCCAGAGCCUUUCAUCAAUGAAGGAAAGCGGCUGGGCUAUAUCCAUCGAAAUUUUGCUGGAAACAGAUUUUCUGAUCACGUAGCCCUUUUAUCAGUAUUCCAAGCCUGGGAUGAUGCUAGAAUGGGUGGAGAAGAAGCAGAGAUACGUUUUUGUGAGCACAAAAGACUUAAUAUGGCUACACUAAGAAUGACUUGGGAAGCCAAAGUUCAGCUCAAAGAGAUUUUGAUUAAUUCUGGGUUUCCAGAAGAUUGUUUGUUGACACAAGUGUUUACUAACACUGGACCAGAUAAUAAUUUGGAUGUUGUUAUCUCCCUCCUGGCCUUUGGUGUGUACCCCAAUGUAUGCUAUCAUAAGGAAAAGAGGAAGAUUCUCACCACUGAAGGGCGUAAUGCACUUAUCCACAAAUCAUCUGUUAAUUGUCCUUUUAGUAGCCAAGACAUGAAGUACCCAUCUCCCUUCUUUGUAUUUGGUGAAAAGAUUCGAACUCGAGCCAUCUCUGCUAAAGGCAUGACUUUAGUCACCCCCCUGCAGUUGCUUCUCUUUGCCUCCAAGAAAGUCCAAUCUGAUGGGCAGAUUGUGCUUGUAGAUGACUGGAUUAAACUGCAAAUAUCUCAUGAAGCUGCUGCCUGUAUCACUGGUCUCCGGGCAGCCAUGGAGGCUUUGGUUGUUGAAGUAACCAAACAACCUGCUAUCAUCAGCCAGUUGGACCCCGUAAAUGAACGUAUGCUGAACAUGAUCCGUCAGAUCUCUAGACCCUCAGCUGCUGGUAUCAACCUUAUGAUUGGCAGUACACGGUAUGGAGAUGGUCCACGUCCUCCCAAGAUGGCCCGAUACGACAAUGGAAGCGGAUAUAGAAGGGGAGGUUCUAGUUACAGUGGUGGAGGCUAUGGCGGUGGCUAUAGCAGUGGAGGCUAUGGUAGCGGAGGCUAUGGUGGCAGCGCCAACUCCUUUCGGGCAGGAUAUGGUGCAGGUGUUGGUGGAGGCUAUAGAGGAGUUUCCCGAGGUGGCUUUAGAGGCAACUCUGGAGGAGACUACAGAGGGCCUAGUGGAGGCUACAGAGGAUCUGGGGGAUUCCAGCGAGGAGGUGGUAGGGGGGCCUAUGGAACUGGCUACUUUGGACAGGGAAGAGGAGGUGGCGGCUAUUAAAACUUGGUUAUGUCAGUUCCUGUGUGUAGACAGUAAGGAAAAAAAGGCAUGCUAUGUGUUACGUGUUUUUUCCAGUAUGUUUAUUUGCCACCAAAAAGUAAAUGCAUUUUCACCCAUUCUGUGGUUCAUUGUAGUUUAAGGAAACCAAGCAUAUAGAUGCAUUAGUGAUUUUGUUUAUAUUAUGUAAAAUAUAACGAUCUCUUAAAAAUACCACAGUUUGUAUUUUUUCUUUAAGGAGUAAAGAUUUGCCUUUAAAUAACUUGGUAUUUUCCUGGCUUUCGUUUAAUACAAUAGAAAAUAAAGUAUUACACCGAAUACUUGCCGUGUAGUUUGUUUGUUGACCUCGUAUGUUAGAAAAUUUUACAAUGCCAGCUACAUCUGUUGAUUUUAAAUGUCAGAGAAGUUGUACCCUGUUUCAAAAGUAUACUAAGUGAUACUACUUGUAAUAGAAUAAAUCAUCUUGGAAUUGAAUUGUUACCUUUUGAAGUAAAUACUGGCAAGUGCACAAGCCACAUAAACCUGAAUAAAACUUUUGACCUAGGGUUGAA